GAUGAACGCUGGCGGCGUGCCUAAUACAUGCAAGUCGAGCGAACGGACGAGAAGCUUGCUUCUCUGAUGUUAGCGGCGGGCGGGUGAGUAACACGUGGAUAACCUACCUAUAAGACUGGGAUAACUUCGGGAAACCGGAGCUAAUACCGGAUAAUAUUUUGAACCGCAUGGUUCAAAAGUGAAAGACGGUCUUGCUGUCACUUAUAGAUGGAUCCGCGCUGCAUUAGCUAGUUGGUAAGGUAACGGCUUACCAAGGCAACGAUGCAUAGCCGACCUGAGAGGGUGAUCGGCCACACUGGAACUGAGACACGGUCCAGACUCCUACGGGAGGCAGCAGUAGGGAAUCUUCCGCAAUGGGCGAAAGCCUGACGGAGCAACGCCGCGUGAGUGAUGAAGGUCUUCGGAUCGUAAAACUCUGUUAUUAGGGAAGAACAUAUGUGUAAGUAACUGUGCACAUCUUGAUGGUACCUAAUCAGAAAGCCACGGCUAACUACGUG
rnacentral:rRNA from 1 species